GUUAUAGACCAUGGACCCGUAAGUUCUAGAAUGAGGCAUAAACCAUGUAAUUUAAUUUUCUUUUGAAGAGUAGAUUUUGUCUAAUGUGAAUCGAACAUGUGACUUCUAAAAUCUCUACAUUUUCUAUAACCAAAUAAUUUUACACACUAGACUAACUCAUUGUUGUAGGCUUGUAGCAAAACAUGUUUAAACGUUUGAACUGAAGGAGCAAAAAUAUAAGAUGAGAGUCAAAUUAUACCAUGUCAUUAUCUUAAUGAAUGUGACAUUUAAACGGAUUUAGUUAGUAUUGGCGGAUAAAUCUGGUCCAGUGUUUAGACACUUGACUAUGACUAAGGAUCAAGAAUAAUUUGCAUAAAAUAGUACUCCCACCCUCCGUUCCUAAAAGAUUCAUAUUAUAAUUUGGUCACACUUAUUAAGAAAACAUUUAAAAUUGUAUUUUCCAAUAUAUUGUUUUUCUUAAUUAAUUAUUUCCAAUAACUUUUAACCAAUGAGAUUUUAUUAAACGUAAUUGUAUUUUUUUAAAGUACAAUUUUUCAUUAAUUAAUGUAUUGAAAAUAUAAAAAAUGUAUUUUUUUGAAAUAAUUUUUUUUUUCUAAAAAAAUGGAUCUUUAAGGAAUAAGGAACAGAAGGAGUAGUAAGAUUCAGUAUCUUAGGAAGAUUGGGACAUAAAUUGAUUAACGUACAGGUGGGGAGCAAAGAAGGUGAGAGGAGAAGGUGUGGGUCUAAGUGACAUACCCAACACCAUGUGGGCAUGUUUUUAUGAACAUUUGGAGGUUCUUUAUCCCCUUCUUGUGUGUGUCUAUGUUUUUUUCUUUUCUUUUGCCCUUUCAAGUAGAUAAAAGGAGCUUAUUAGGAAAAUGAACGAUGAAAGAGACCUUAACACUUAUGGUAUUAGGGUUGGAUGGUUUGACUAUAAGAUAGUCAAAUUAAUGGAAUUUAGCUAAACACAAAUUUUUAAUGCGAUAGAAACUCAUUUAAUGAAACUUUUAAUGCGAUAGAAACUCAUUUAAUGUUUAAUAAAUUGAAAAAUAUUUCUUUUCCAAAUUAGACCAAUUUAAAAUAUGAUAGAAUCUGAUAAAAUAAUAAGAUAAGAAUUUUAUUUACCUUAUACAAAUAUGUAAUCUCAUUAUUAAAUAACAAAUUAAAGAUUGUAUAUACCAUUUAAAAAAUAUUUUACUAUUUUCUUAAAAUGAAAUUAGUUUCUUUUUUUUCUUUUUUCAAAUUAUUUUGAUCUUAUUUUUAGGAAAAUAUAUAAAAUGAAUUUAUAUUUUAAAGCAUAUAUCUCUAAUACAUUAAAGCAUUGAAUAAUUUAAUAAAAGGUAAAAUCUAUAACAUUUAGUAGAUAUAUAGAAUCAUUAAAUAUAAUAUAAUCUUAUUUUAAAAUAAAAAUCUGAACAUAAAAAUUAUUUAUAUUUGUAAUAUUAUAAACUCAUACAUAAUAUAGUUCUGCCUUUAUUAAUUUAUAGAGUUUGCUACAUAUUGACUAAAACUUUAAGCUCACAAAAGUUUACAACAAUAACCAAUACAAUAUAAAUUCUUCAACUUAUUUGGGUGCUCAUUGUUGUUUCUUUCAGUUUUUUUCCACCCAUUUAAAAUUACAGUAGAAACAAGAGUUUUUAACCCCAAUCAAACCGCCGGUCGGACUGGAUCAAACCGUGAAUCGGACACAUAUCCAAGUUGGAUGGAUAAAAAUUAGGCUGCUAAUCAAAGGAAUGAAAACUAAAAGGCAUGUAGGGGCCCUUCUUUCUCAUACAUGUCGUAGCCCUUGAUUUCUCCUUUUAUACUCUUAACAAUGGAAUCAGUUUAACUCAUAAGCGGUCUCCAUAGAGGAAAAAUAAGUAAAAACCGCUAGAGAGAGGGGUCGAACCUCUGACCUUGUGGUUAACAGCCACACGCUCUAACCAACUGAGCUACUCCAGCCGGUUGAUACUGAAUUAGAAGACGUCAUUUUGUAUUGGUAAAACAGAAACAAAGAAGAUGGAAAAGAUUAAUAACCCAACUAUGAGUUUAAGAUUAUAAAAUGAAAAAUUUAAUGUCAUUAAACUUUUGAUUUUUAUUUUAAAAUACAAUGUUAUUGAAUUUUUUAUUUAAAAAAUUAUUCCAAAAUCCACGGUUAUUGAAACUGUUAUAAGUUGUGAAUUUUAUGAUUAUUCUAAUCACUUUAUAGUGUUUGGUUGAGUUUCUUAAUUAAACAAAUAAAAAUCUUAUUUUGGGUGAGAUUUUAAUAAAAAAUCAUAUUAAACUUUCAGUUCACCUAAAAUCUUUUAAAACAUACUAAAACUCCAAUUAUUUCAAAUUAUAGAACGAGUACAUCUCUUAGUCAUUUUGGAUCUUCUAUAAAUGAGUCAAAUUAACUUUUGAUUAUUAUUUGUGUAUGUUAUUAAAUAUGUUUGGGGGUAAAUAAUAAGAAAAUGAAUAAUGUGGGACAACUUAUAAAUCUUUUUAAAUUAUGCUGACGUUUUGCUUUUGGUUUCUCGCUUGCUAACAUGACAAAUUUAUUAUAUUUUUAAUCAAAUUUUUUUUAUUUAUUAAAUUUUAUGAUAUUUAAAAAUUAAUUAAUUAUAUAUAAAAUGUGUUGAAAUAUAUUUUAUUAUUACUCAAAAUUCUACAAAAUUUAUUCAGCAAAUUCAUUUUCUUAAAAAAAUAACUUCUGUAUUUAAAAUAUCAAAAUAUAAAUACAUUUGUAUAACUAUAUUAAUUAAUGCUAUUAUUUUUAAUUAAUUAUUUAAUUUUGUUUACUUUGUGGUAUAAAAUGAUACAUAUCCUCUCAUAUAUUUUUAACUUAAUUAUGUAUACUUAUUUGACCAAUAGUAUUUGAGAUAAUUUGCAUUGAAAUUCUAAAAUGACACUUGUUUUUUAAUAAGAAAAAAUGUUUAAAUGAUAUUAGUUUUACAAAUAAUAAAUAUCCACAUAUUACCAUAAGGCUCCAAAAAUAUAUCUUAAGUAUGUUGUGAUGUAUUAUUGCUUAAGUGGACAUCUAGACUGCUUUUUUGAAUGCCUAAUUCAAUCUUAAAACAAAUUGUUUCAUUAAUUUGUUUCGUUUAAAUUCUAAUGUUUAGUCGUCGUCUAAACUUAUUUUUAAAACACUGAUUUACAAAUGAUAACAGAUUACCGUGACAUGUAGUCUAGUGGUUUAUGUUUUUUUUUUGUUAUUCUAGUGGUUUAUAUUUCUAUCACCAUUCAAAUUUAAACCCACAUAAUGUAUGCUAUUGUGACAAAAAAUAGCAACAGAUAGACAAAUUAUAUACUUACAUGUUAUAGCUUACAACCAUAGAGUUUUCUCAUUACCUUUCUUACAUUCUUCAUGCAUUUAAAUAGAUUACAAAAGUCAAGUUAUAUAUAUACUCAAAUAUUAUAGCUUACCAUCAUAUCGACUUUAGAUUUGUUGGCUUGAUAACUUUCAGCUGAACAGUUUAUUUUCCAACUUUAUCAACGUACUAUAUAAAUCUAUUACGAUACUACUGUAGUGAUAUAUAUGGUGUUACUGAUGCUGACACAAUUUCUUCCUAGAUAUUAUCAUAAUAUGUUUCUAAAAGUAGCUUUCAAGCUAACAAAUGGGUCAAUGUUCUUUUCUCAUAUCAAUUUUUCCAACCAAUGAUCUAGAUCAUAUAUGAACUGUCUGAUUUUGACAAGAUCUGUGACAAGAUAUUAUCCAUAACAAAAAGGAAAACUAGAGGUAGUUUUUGAAGAAUGAGAGUAGUUAAGAGAUUUGAGAGGAUCGAAGGAUGACGGAUGAAGGAUGAGAACCACAAAGAGUGGGCAUCAUUGUGGUUGCAGAGAUUUUUAACCAAAGUGGACCUUCUUAUGUUCUAUCGCUUUCUCUGAAAAUUUAUUUUUCUAUAUUUCUCUACUAUCAUUUACUGGAAAUCCCUAACAUAAUAUUAAAAAGUCCAAAUAUAAAAUUAUUGAGGUGUUGUUAUCAUAAAAAUUGAUCGGAAUUUCAUUUUGUUUUCGAAAUACAUGAAAUUUCAUUAAAUAGUAAUUGUAUAGAAUUUUAGUUUUGUAAACAUCUUCUAGACAUUAGUUAUGAAGCGAUUUUUUUUUAAUGUUUUGUGUUGUUGCCACAUUCAUUCUAAAAAAAAGAAGAUGAAAUUACUUUGAAAAAAUAUAAUAUGAUAUCAAUUUAGUUGUGACAUAAAAUUUCUCCAACAACUAAUCCUUCAUAUAAAAUUUAUCAACAUCUUCAUUUCUGCCGUGUCUGCCAAAUGUAUACAAAGCGUUGACCUUCUUCAUUGAACAUUUUCAGUCAAUAUAAAAACAAACAUAUUCAAAAGUUACAAACAAAGUUGAUCUUUACAUGUUCCAAGUUCAUGAUGCUUCUUGUUCAGCAUGUUGCUUUUGUGUCUCAGCCUCUAACUUCCUCAAAGUAGUCGAACUUAUCUUAUUCCCACUUGAUCCAUCAGAAACUAUUUCCACAAACUGAAUCUACAAGGAAGAAAAUUAUAAGGGUUUGAUGAUUGAAUCUUUCAAAAUUCACCACAAGGCUAAGGCUGGGUGAAUAAAAAAAGAUGAACCUUAAGUUGAGAAAGACCUCUUUCUCUCUUUCUGUUAACUGACAAGCCACCAGGUAACGUCUCUUUGCUGCAGAUUAUGAUUAGUUAAAGCCUACGGAUGCGAAUAGAAAGGAACAUGUGAAAAAAAGAGAUUAAUAGACACAAGGCUAAACCUGACUACAAUAGCUUCCAAAGAUUCAUCGACGAUAGAAGGCCCAUAUGGAUCAGUAAUGGGCUCGGUUUGCACAACCAGCCCAGGUUUGAUAGACUACACAAA